GAUGAACGCUAGCGGCAGGCCUAAUACAUGCAAGUCGGACGGGAUCCAUCGGAGAGCUUGCUCGAAGAUGGUGAGAGUGGCGCACGGGUGCGUAACGCGUGAGCAACCUACCUCUAUCAGGGGGAUAGCCUCUCGAAAGAGAGAUUAACACCGCAUAAUAUAAUCUUCCGGCAUCGUUAGAUUAUUAAAUAUUUAUAGGAUAGAGAUGGGCUGGCGUGACAUUAGCUAGUUGGUAAGGUAACGGCUUACCAAGGCGACGAUGUCUAGGGGCUCUGAGAGGCGAAACCCCCACACUGGUAAUGCGACACGGACCAGACUCCUGCGGGAGGCAGCAGUAAGGAAUAUUGGUCAAUGGGCGGAAGCCUGAACCAGCCAUGCCGCGUGCAGGACGACUGCCCUAUGGGUUGUAAACUGCUUUUGUCCAGGAAUAAACCUAAAUACGUGUAUUUAGCUGAAUGUACUGGAAGAAUAAGGAUCGGCUAACUCCGUGCCAGCAGCCGCAGUAAUAC
rnacentral:rRNA from 1 species